AGAGUUUGAUCCUGGCUCAGAUUGAACGCUGAGGCUUAACACAUGCAAGUCGUGGGGCAGCAUGAAGUAGCAAUACUUUGAUGGCGACCGGCAAACGGGUGCGGAACACGUACACAACCUUCCUUUUAGUGGGGAAUAGCCCAGAGAAAUUUGGAUUAAUACCCCGUAACAUAGCGAUGUGGCAUCACAUUGCUAUUAUAGCUUCGGCGCUAGAUGAUGGGUGUGCGUAUGAUUAGAUAGUUGGCGAGGUAACGGCUCACCAAGUCUACGAUCAUUAGCUGAUGUGAGAGCAUGAUCAGCCACACGGGCACUGAGACACGGGCCCGACUCCUACGGGAGGCAGCAGUAAGGAAUAUUGGUCAAUGGACGAAAGUCUGAACUAGCCAUGCCGCGUGAAGGAUUAAGGUCCUCUGGAUUGUAAACUUCUUUUAUAUGGGACGAAAAAAGGUCUUUCUAGAUCACUUGACGGUACCAUAUGAAUAAGCACCGGCUAACUCCGUGCCAGCAGCCGCGGUAAUACGGAGGGUGCAAGCGUUAUCCGGAUUCACUGGGUUUAAAGGGUGCGUAGGCGGGCAGGUAAGUCAGUGGUGAAAUCCUGGAGCUCAACUCCAGAACUGCCAUUGAUACUAUCUGUCUUGAAUAUUGUGGAGGUAAGCGGAAUAUGUCAUGUAGCGGUGAAAUGCUUAGAUAUGACAUAGAACACCCAUUGCGAAGGCAGCUUACUACGCAUAUAUUGACGCUGAGGCACGAAAGCGUGGGGAUCAAACAGGAUUAGAUACCCUGGUAGUCCACGCCCUAAACGAUGGAUACUCGACAUACGCGAUACACUGUGUGUGUCUGAGCGAAAGCAUUAAGUAUCCCACCUGGGAAGUACGUUCGCAAGAAUGAAACUCAAAGGAAUUGACGGGGGUCCGCACAAGCGGUGGAGUAUGUGGUUUAAUUCGAUGAUACGCGAGGA
rnacentral:rRNA from 1 species